rnacentral:rRNA from 1 species
GAUGAACGCUAGCGGCAGGCUUAAUACAUGCAAGUCGAGGGGCAUCAAGGUACACGAAAGUGUAUUGUUGGCGACCGGCGGACGGGUGAGUAAUAGGUAGGUAACCUACCUCAUACUGAGGCAUAGCUGGGAGAAAUUCCAGGUAAUUCCUCAUGAGGUUAUAUGACACAUGUGAUAUAAUCAAAGGUAUCGCAAGGUACUGGUAUGAGAUGGGCUUACUGACCAUUAGCUAGUUGGUGAGAUAAGAGCUCACCAAGGCGAAGAUGGUUAGGGGUUUUGAGAGAGAGAUCCCCCACAUUGGAACUGAGAUACGGUCCAGACUCCUACGGGAGGCAGCAGUAGGGAAUAUUGGGCAAUGGGCGGAAGCCUGACCCAGCCAUGCCGCGUGAAGGAGACGGCCUUAGGGUUGUAAACUUCUUUACUAUGCGACUAACUAGAUUUACGAGAUAAUUCUAUAGAAUGUAGCAUAGCAAAAGCACC